CCUACGGGUGGCAGCAGUGAGGAAUAUUGGUCAAUGGCCGUAAGGCUGAACCAGCCAAGCCGCGUGAAGGAAGAAGGUUCUAAGCUUUGUAAACUUCUUUUAUCGAGGAACAAAGGUAUGCACGAGUGCCUAUUUGCGUGUACUUGAAGAAAAAGCAUCGGCUAACUCCGUGCCAGCAGCCGCGGUAAUACGGAGGAUGCGAGCGUUAUCCGGAUUUAUUGGGUUUAAAGGGUGCGUAGGUUGUGUUUUAAGUCAGCGGUGAAAGGCUGUGGCUCAACCAUAAGAGUGCCGUUGAAACUGGAUGUCUUGAGUGUGUGAGAGGUAGGCGGAAUGCGUGGUGUAGCGGUGAAAUGCAUAGAUAUUGCGCAGAACUCCGAUUGCGAAGGCAGCAUACCGGCGCUCAUCUGACGCUCAGGCACGAAAGUGUGGGUAUCGAACAGGAUUAGAUACCCUAGUAGUC
rnacentral:rRNA from 1 species